rnacentral:rRNA from 1 species
CCUACGGGUGGCAGCAGUGAGGAAUAUUGGUCAAUGGACGCAAGUCUGAACCAGCCAUGCCGCGUGCAGGAAGACGGCUCUAUGAGUUGUAAACUGCUUUUGUACGAGGGUAAACGCAGAUACGUGUAUCUGUCUGAAAGUAUCGUACGAAUAAGGAUCGGCUAACUCCGUGCCAGCAGCCGCGGUAAUACGGAGGAUUCAAGCGUUAUCCGGAUUUAUUGGGGUUAAAGGGUGCGUAGGCGGUCGGAUAAGUUAGAGGUGAAAUCCCGAGGCUCAACUUCGGAAUUGCCUCUGAUACGGUGCGGGUAGAGAGUAGGUGCGGUAGGCGGAAUGUAUGGGGUAGCGGUGAAAUGCAGAGAGAUCGUGCAGAA